UACAGAGGGUGCAAGCGUUAAUCGGAAUUACUGGGCGUAAAGCGUGCGUAGACGGUUACGUAAGUCGGGUGUGAAAGCCCCGGGCUCAACCUGGGAAUUGCAUUCGAGACUGUGUAGCUAGGGUGCGGAAGAGGGAAGCGGAAUUUCCGGUGUAGCGGUGAAAUGCGUAGAUAUCGGAAGGAACAUCAGUGGCGAAGGCGGCGAUCUGGGUGGUUACUGACGGCUGAGGUGCGAAAGCGUGGGGAGCAAACAGG
rnacentral:rRNA from 1 species